UUCCAGACUCCUACGGGAGGCAGCAGUGGGGAAUAUUGCACAAUGGGGGAAACCCUGAUGCAGCAACGCCGCGUGAGUGAAGAAGUCAUUCGUGAUGUAAAGCUCUAUCGGCAGGGAAGAAAAUGACGGUACCUGAGUAAGAAGCCCCGGCUAACUACGUGCCAGCAGCCGCGGUAAUACGUAGGGGGCAAGCGUUAUCCGGAUUUACUGGGUGUAAAGGGCGUGCAGCCGGGCUGACAAGUCAGAUGUGAAAUCCCGCGGCUCAACCGCGGAACUGCAUUUGAAACUGUCAGUCUUGAGUACCGGAGAGGUCAUCGGAAUUCCUUGUGUAGCGGUGAAAUGCGUAGAUAUAAGGAAGAACACCAGUGGCGAAGGCGGAUGACUGGACGGCAACUGACGGUGAGGCGCGAAAGCGUGGGGAGCAAACAGGAUUAGAUACCCGAGUA
rnacentral:rRNA from 1 species